rnacentral:lncRNA from 1 species
AAGAGGUUGUCUAUGAAAAUGGAAUCUCUUACAUAGGUUUGGGGUUUUUUCCAUUUAAUUAAUUUAGAAUAUUUAUCCAUGGUUCCAUUAUUCAUGUUCUUUUCCUUCAUCCUCCCAGAGCUGAUGAGCAAUUCCACUGGGUUUUACAUGUAUCAUUUGCAUAGUUAUUUUUAAGUAGAGAAAAUAAAUUCAAAAUAAUAAUUUCAAAUCUGUCCUGCUUCUCUUCCUUUGAAUUUCUGUGAACUUCUUUGAAGUGACUUCUCUUCGGUGGCCGCUAGGUGGCGCUCUAAGCCAGGAAAAUCUGAGGUCAACUCUGACCCCCAUAUGACUCUGGACAAGUCAUUUAACUUCUGUCCACCUCCGUUUUAUUCCUCCGUAAAAUGAAAUAAUAAUAGCAUCUACCUCUCAGGGUCGCUAUGGGAAUCAGCUGAGAUACUAAAUUAUAAAAUGCUUGGCCACUAUCUAAACGUUAGUUAUUAAUAGUGGUAGUAGUAGUAAAGCAAUUAGCAUAGUGCCCUGCCAUAGCAGACAUUUAAUGCUUGUUUCCUUCCUCCUCUUCUGGGCAUUUAAAAAUAUUUCAUAGACAUUCUUUCCUUUCUUUUUGGGGGCAUCAUUAUUUUUCUCACUCCCCCUCCCCAAAAAAAGUUACGCCUCUCCCUUCAAACAAACCAACCCAGUGAAUCAAAAUAAAUCCGUAUCUCGAUUAUGUCGGACUACACGGGUCUCAUUCUGCGUUUCCUGCCUAGCAUUUCUCUGCCGGAAGUGGGGAAGCGUGCUUUCCGUGAUCCCGGUGCUCGGGAGUCCUGAUUGGUCAUUGCAUUCAUCAGCCUCCUAACGUCUUUCGAAGUUGGUUUUCGUUCCACGGGGGCAGCGGGAGGGGAUGCUGUGCCCACUCAGGUCACGUGCGGCCACCCGAGUUCGGCUGGAAGUCACCAGAAGGUCCAACACUCUCUUCCGAGUUCCCUGUAGUUGCUGGAGAACUGAAAUCCAAGUCUUUGGGCUAUCAAACAGUGCGUCCCCUUGGAUCCAGGAAUACCACUACUAGGCCUGUAUCUUGGAGAGAUUAAAGAAAAAGGCGGGGAAAGGACCUGCUUAUACAAAAUUAUUUAUUGCUGCUCUUUUUGGGGUGACAAAGAACUGGAAAAUGGGGGGACGUGCCUCCACUGGGGAGCAGCUGAACAAAUUGUAGCAUGUGGGGCUGAGGGAAUACUAGUGGCUGUAAGGAUGCUCUCAGAAAGAGCCAGCGAGACCUUGGACGGAUGCAGCGAGGACUAAACAGAACCAGGCGAACACUGUACCGUCACUGCCAUAACCGUCAAGCACGUAGACUUUGCUGGCUCAGCAAUGCAAUGGUCCAGGAGAGCUGAGAGACGGAGGGCGGAAGAUGCUCUCUGCCUCCGGAGCAAGGACUGUGCGAGUCAGAAUGCAGAUGAAAGCAGGCGGUUUUUCACUUGCUUCUUUGGGUUUAUA